UACGGAGGGUGCGAGCGUUGUCCGGAAUCACUGGGCGUAAAGGGCGCGUAGGCGGCGCGGAUAGUCGGCGGUGAAAGCCCGGAGCUCAACUCCGGGUCGGCCGUCGAUACUUCCGGGCUUGAGCACUGUAGAGGCAGAUGGAAUUCCGGGUGUAGCGGUGGAAUGCGUAGAGAUCCGGAAGAACACCGGUGGCGAAGGCGGUCUGCUGGGCGAGUUGCUGACGCUGAUGCG
rnacentral:rRNA from 1 species